rfam:Salmo salar isolate Sally breed double haploid chromosome ssa09, whole genome shotgun sequence.
GAAUGGACAAUUUGUAAGUCGCUCUGGAUAAGAGCAUCUGCUAAAUGACGUAAA